UACAGAGGGUGCAAGCGUUGUUCGGAAUCAUUGGGCGUAAAGGGCGCGUAGGCGGCCGUCCAAGUCGGGUGUGAAAUCCCUCGGCUCAACCGAGGAACUGCACUCGAUACUGGUCGGCUAGAGUCCGGGAGGGGAUGGUGGAAUUCCCAGUGUAGCGGUGAAAUGCGUAGAUAUUGGGAAGAACACCGGUGGCGAAGGCGGCCAUCUGGACCGGAACUGACGCUGAGGCGCGAAAGCCAGGGGAGCGAAUGGG
rnacentral:rRNA from 1 species